GCAUGAGGUCUAUUUGUCAUAUGUAAUGUGAUACUGUGGUGCUUUGCAACUUUCAAAGAACUUUGACACAAAAAUGAUCUCAUUGGAUCCUCAGAUGACCCUGCGAUGUGGGUAGGGUUGGUGGAUACUUAUCACCACUUCCCAUAUGAAGAAAGAAGGGUAAAUAGGUUAUAUAAUAUCACCAAGGUCACUUUGCACUUCGGUGGUGGAAAAAGAUUCCAAAAGAAGCAUUUAACUUCUAAAACAGCUGCAAACUAGACCAUGAUUUUCUAUCUACAACCCACUCCAUCUUCACGUGUGAACCUUGAGAGACAGGAAAAAGCCAACAGAUCCUUGCACCUGUUCCAACAACACUUCUAGGACCAAAGGAAUGAACCAUGUUUCGAUUGAGGGAAGCAGCCUUCACUCUGUCCUCUGAGGAACUGUCUCUGUGUGUUUAAGAAGCAGCAGAAACUCGAUGGCAUAAGAGUGGACCUCAUUUCCGGCUGUGCUGGGGCAUUAUGCUUAGUAGCUUCCACCUUCCUGGUACUUCUCUCCUGGGCUGGGACCCCGAGUGCCCCACACCUGUGCCUGAUGCCUCUGGGAAGCCUAGAUGUGGAUGGGAGGUGGGGUGAGUGGGAGUCCGGCUUUCCUCCUCCCUUCCGCACAUGAAUGGACACACACCUGUUUUGUUUAGAGCUGUCUUGAUUGACCUGAAGGGAAGGAGUAGAACUGACUUUGUGUUUAAUCUUCUAUCUUUCUUCCAACACAAUUAUUUGAAAUAUAACUUUAAAAAGUGCAACUCUCCUAUAAGUUUCUUGAAAUGUUUUUUACAGAAAGAUUUGUUUCUUUAACUAAUUUUUAAGCAUUUAUUGAUCGAUCCACCCCCAAAAAAUCGAUGAACAGGUCAGAAGUUUUAAAUUUUAAAUAUCUUGAAAAGCUGCAGCCCUUGUUAAAUUUUUUCAUAAGACAAUUCAUAGAACGUUACUGAGAAGCAAACAUAUUCUUAGAAAGCUUCUCAUUCCAGACUCAACUGGGUCAGCCCUGAGGUUAUUCUGGGAGCUGACUACUUUAUUCACUCUCUGAAUCAGAUUCUGACACAUAUUUUUUAUAAGUUCUUGGUCUUUUUUUUGAAAACUGACAGGCCUAUGGAAAAGUUAAUAGCUUGGUGAAUAUAAUGUGCUUAUGUCUGCAAACAAUAGAGAUAUUAAAAAGGUGCCCUAUUUUUUACUAUGAAUCUUCCGAGGAGCAUUUAAAAUGUGAACCCAAAUCUGACAUAAAAAAGCGCAAGAGAUUGUGGCACUUUGAUCUUCAUUUUCACUUUGUCAUGCAAUGUUUUAAUUUUCUUUGAGACAAAACUGCUUAGAUCUCAGGCUCAGAUUAUAUAUUAUACAAAGGGAUCUAUAGAAUUAAAGAGAUGGAACAAGGUUCUUGGGAAAAUGUAGCUUCUGUGAAAUAUAGGCAUAUUUGAUCAAAAUGACUAUUUCUACAUUAUUUCUGGACUAAUUUAAAGGUAAAGCUGAGGAUGGUUGGUGUGUGAACGACCCUAAUGCCUUCUAUGAAUGCUUUAUAGAUGCAAAUCAGAUGAUAUCAUUUAAGGAGAUAUGAACAGGACUCAAUAAUUAUCCUAAAUAAUAGGAUUAUUUUGUCACUAAUAAUUUCUUUAUAUUCUACAGUUCUUUCAGGGAUGUUUCAAUUUAUGUUGAGAAAAUAGCUGUCAAACUACAACAAUUUCCUCAUAGUUCAUAAAACAAUAUGUCAUCUUCAAAUUAAAAAUGCAUACUUCAUUUUGCAGCACGAAAAGUCCCAUUCCUUGGACUGUUACCCCAUCUGUCCACCACUUCUCUGAAAAUUUUCCACAGGAAGCCCCAAUUCACACCAAUAAUUUAUGAAGGAGUGCACAGAUUCAUGGAAAGAACAGAAACUCUUCAUGUUAACAGAUUUUGACGUAAUCAGUGGGGGUGGGGGCAGACUCUCUCCCUCCCAGAAGGCUAUGCUUGGAAUCCUCUUCUCCAUUUGUGCAUGGCUGCUACCGUCUUGUCCCGUUUAAAGGUCACCCUGGAAUGAUCUUUCUGACCACCUAAUCUAAUUGCAUGUUUGAUUAUAUAAUCGUCCAUGCAGCACUUAUCAUUGCUUGAUACUUCGGGGUUCGGUUUGUUCCUUGGCAAUCUCCUUGCACUUGCAAAGCGUGAACUUUGCUCCAUUCAUGCUAUAAUCCUGCACCCAGAAUGGUGUGUGACAAGUGUUAUGAUUUGAGCCAUUUCCCAAAAAGCUUUGUUGCUGACCUAACCCCCACUAUCUCAGAAUAGCCUUGUUUAGAAUAGCCUUUGCAGAUAUAAUUAGUUAAAAUAUGGUUAUAAGAAAAAGAUGUGCCCAUAAUCCCCGAAGAUAACUACUUUUAUAAGAAAUGGAGAGAGAAACACACAAAAGAGCACUAUAUGAAUCACAGACAUCUGGAGAGGCUGGUCAUGUAGAAAGCAGCCAGAGAGUGGAGUCUUACUGCCACUACCGAGGCAUGCCCGUGGCUAUAGGAAGUUUGAAGAGACAAAAAAGGCUCCUUUCCCCAAAGCUUCCACAGAGCAAGGUCCUGUCAACACCUCAAUUCUCUCUUCACAUUCUGAGCACAGAUAUUCUCCCCUUGAACCAGCAAUCAAAUAUCUGCCUUAAAAAUGAAGCCAAAGAAAAAAUAAUGUGUUAGUAAGAAAAACACACUGUAAACAGACCACCAUUCUGUUGUAGUUUGUUACUUUGGCUUAAGAUAAUAUGGCUAGUGUUUUAUCAGGAAGAUGUGUAGGACAAAGAUUUUUGCCAUAAUUUUGUGCUCAUUAUUUCAGUAAAUUUGCAAGUCUC